CAUUAAUAUAUGGACAAACCUCGCAACAAGUGAGUCAGGACAGUAAAAAUGUGAGUGUUCUGGAGCCAUCUACACUUGGAUUCAAACCCAGUCUUCACCACCCGCUCAGCUGUAAAACUGGGACAAUAUUUCCAGCCUUGCAUGGCUUUUGUCUGGAUUAAGGGAGACGGGUAACCUUUUUUAGAAGGUAGCUUCUAAGACUCUUAUCUUUGGAAGAAAUUUUCAUCAAAACAUCUAGAUACAUGCCAUCAGCACUUGCCAAACACGAGGAGCAAAAGGCAACACAAUGAAGAGAGUCUUCAACAAUUCGUGCUGGAACAGCUGAGUAUCCACAUGCAAAAAAAAAAGGAAUCUAGACACAAAUCUUACACCUUUCACAAAAAUUAACUCAAAUGGAUCACAGAUCUAAACGUAAAAUACAAAACUAUAAAACUCCUAGAAGAUAAUAACACAGGAGAAGAUCUAGAUGACCUUGGGUUUGGCAAUGACUUUUCAGAAACACCAAAGGCAUGAACCAGGAAAGAAUCAAUUGAUAAACUGGACUUGAUUAAAAGUAAAAAUGUCUGCUCU